CCGUUUUCGGAGGUACUCGAGUGGCGAACGGGUGAGUAACACGUGGGUGAUCUGCCCUGCACUCUGGGAUAAGCCUGGGAAACUGGGUCUAAUACCGGAUAGGACCGCACUUUAGUGUGUGUGGUGGAAAGUUUUUUCGGUGUAGGAUGAGCCCGCGGCCUAUCAGCUUGUUGGUGGGGUAAUGGCCUACCAAGGCGGCGACGGGUAGCCGGACUGAGAGGUUGGUCGGCCACAUUGGGACUGAGAUACGGCCCAG
rnacentral:rRNA from 1 species